rnacentral:rRNA from 1 species
UUGGGACUGAGACACGGCCCAAACUCCUACGGGAGGCAGCAGUAGGGAAUCUUCCACAAUGGGCGAAAGCCUGAUGGAGCAACGCCGCGUGGGUGAAGAAGGUCUUCGGAUCGUAAAACCCUGUUGUUAGAGAAGAAAGUGCGUGAGAGUAACUGUUCACGUUUCGACGGUAUCUAACCAGAAAGCCACGGCUAACUACGUGCCAGCAGCCGCGGUAAUACGUAGGUGGCAAGCGUUAUCCGGAUUUAUUGGGCGUAAAGGGAACGCAGGCGGUCUUUUAAGUCUGAUGUGAAAGCCUUCGGCUUAACCGGAGUAGUGCAUUGGAAACUGGGAGACUUGAGUGCAGAAGAGGAGAGUGGAACUCCAUGUGUAGCGGUGAAAUGCGUAGAUAUAUGGAAGAACACCAGUGGCGAAAGCGGCUCUCUGGUCUGUAACUGACGCUGAGGUUCGAAAGCGUGGGUAGCAAACAGGAUUAGAUACCCUGGUAGUCCACGCCGUAAACGAUGAAUGCUAAGUGUUGGAGGGUUUCCGCCCUUCA